GAUGAAGAACGUAGCGAAAUGCGAUACGUAAUGUGAAUUGCAGAAUUCAGUGAAUCAUCGAGUCUUUGAACGCACAUUGCGCCCCCUGGUAUUCCGGGGGGCAUGCCUGUCCGAGCGUCAUUGCUGCCCUCAAGCACGGCUUGUGUGUUGGGCCUCCGUCCUCCUCCCGGGGGACGGGCCCGAAAGGCAGCGGCGGCACCGCGUCCGGUCCUCGAGCGUAUGGGGCUUCGUCACCCGCUCUUGUAGGCCCGGCCGGCGCUUGCCGACACAUCAUUCUUUUUUCCAGGUUGACCUCGGAUCAGGUAGGGAUACCCGCUGAACUUAGGCAUAUCAAUAGGCGGAGGA
rnacentral:misc_RNA from 1 species